CGCGCGAUACAGGGUGACAGCCCCGUACACAAAAAUGCACAUGCUGUGAGCUCGAUGAGUAGGGCGGGACACGUGGUAUCCUGUCUGAAUAUGGGGGGACCAUCCUCCAAGGCUAAAUACUCCUGACUGACCGAUAGUGAACCAGUACCGUGAGGGAAAGGCGAAAAGAACCCCGGCGAGGGGAGUGAAAAAGAACCUGAAACCGUGUACGUACAAGCAGUGGGAGCACGCUUAGGCGUGUGACUGCGUACCUUUUGUAUAAUGGGUCAGCGACUUAUAUUCUGUAGCAAGGUUAACCGAAUAGGGGAGCCGAAGGGAAACCGAGUCUUAACUGGGCGUUAAGUUGCAGGGUAUAGACCCGAAACCCGGUGAUCUAGCCAUGGGCAGGUUGAAGGUUGGGUAACACUAACUGGAGGACCGAACCGACUAAUGUUGAAAAAUUAGCGGAUGACUUGUGGCUGGGGGUGAAAGGCCAAUCAAACCGGGAGAUAGCUGGUUCUCCCCGAAAGCUAUUUAGGUAGCGCCUCGUGAAUUCAUCUCCGGGGGUAGAGCACUGUUUCGGCAAGGGGGUCAUCCCGACUUACCAACCCGAUGCAAACUGCGAAUACCGGAGAAUGUUAUCACGGGAGACACACGGCGGGUGCUAACGUCCGUCGUGAAGAGGGAAACAACCCAGACCGCCAGCUAAGGUCCCAAAGUCAUGGUUAAGUGGGAAACGAUGUGGGAAGGCCCAGACAGCCAGGAUGUUGGCUUAGAAGCAGCCAUCAUUUAAAGAAAGCGUAAUAGCUCACUGGUCGAGUCGGCCUGCGCGGAAGAUGUAACGGGGCUAAACCAUGCACCGAAGCUGCGGCAGCGACGCUUAUGCGUUGUUGGGUAGGGGAGCGUUCUGUAAGCCUGUGAAGGUGUACUGUGAGGUAUGCUGGAGGUAUCAGAAGUGCGAAUGCUGACAUAAGUAACGAUAAAGCGGGUGAAAAGCCCGCUCGCCGGAAGACCAAGGGUUCCUGUCCAACGUUAAUCGGGGCAGGGUGAGUCGACCCCUAAGGCGAGGCCGAAAGGCGUAGUCGAUGGGAAACAGGUUAAUAUUCCUGUACUUGGUGUUACUGCGAAGGGGGGACGGAGAAGGCU
rnacentral:rRNA from 1 species